UAUAUAGAGAGAGAGAGAGAGAGAGAGAGAGAGAGAGAGAGAGAUGAGCUAGAAUGCUAUCAGUGGCAAACGGGUUUCGUUGCCACCUAUUUGUUUUCGAUAAUGCAGCCUCCAAAACGACGAUCAGCACUAUUGAACAUCAAUACCACUUGAAGUAUUUUGAAAUCAAAUUUCAAAUCUAUUUGACAUCAUUGACCUAAUGAUCAAAAUAUUUCAAAAUUUGUAAUUUUAAUGGUCGAUAUGAGGCAUUUUCUCAUUUAACGGUAUAAAGAUAUUCAAAUUAAUCUAAUUUUUGUUAGAAAAUUCUAUUAACUAUUUAGAACAAGAUUUAUACUCUCGAUCUUGAUUACAAUAUUCCUAUUAUUACUUUUUAGAUGAUAUUCAUUUUCAGCCAUUCAUUUUUGUAUCCACUUGAUGGACAAGAGAACAAUAUUGAAACAGUAUGAAAUUUAGUUUCUAAAUGCUUCAAAUAGUAUAGAUCAUGUUCAAAGGUGCCGAUCGUCGAUUUGGAGGCUCCAUCAUCGAAAACAAAUGGGUGGCAACGGAACCCAUUUGUUAUCGAUAGCAUUCCAGCUCAACUCUCUCUCUCUCUCUCUCUCUCUCUCU
rnacentral:lncRNA from 1 species